rnacentral:rRNA from 1 species
ACCUAUUCUCGAACUCCGAACGGGCAAGGAGCCGGGGUCGCCCGAUCGGACCCCGGACGUGAAGUCGACGAUGGUCGGUGGGCUGGUUUUGGUAAGCAGAACGGGCGAUUCGGGAUGAACCGGAAGCGGGGAGAAAGGGCCCGAGAUUGCGUCGACGCGGAUCCCGAAAAGGGCGUCGAUCCGUCGCGACAGCGGGACGGUGGUCAUGGAAGUCGAAAUCCGCUAAGAAGCGUGUAAAAACGUACCCGCCCAACGGAUCGGCCCCGAAAAUUGAUGGCGCUCGAACGCAACCCUCGAACCCCGCCGACGGAGGCUAGGGGAGGCCCCGUCGAGUAGGCGGACGCGCGGGUCGCUUCGACGCUCUCGCGCGAGCGGGGGCGGAGCGGCCCGUGGUGCAGAUCUUGGUGGUAGUAGCGAUCACCCAGGCGAGAACCCUGAGGGCCGAAGUGGAGAAGGGGUUUCUCGAGAACGGCACUCGCUCGAGAGUUAGUCGAUCCUAAGCUGCCGGCGGCAGCCACGAAACGGUCGAUCGGGCGCGAGCCCGGCAGCCACGACCGGGCAGCGAAAGGGAUU